rnacentral:misc_RNA from 1 species
AAGUCGUAACAAGGUUUCCGUAGGUGAACCUGCGGAAGGAUCAUUAGCGUAGUUGUUUGAUGUCGUCGUCGCGGUGCGAGGUGAAGGUGUGCGGUUUAACGACUGCGCGCUGGAUCUUCUACCGUGCGCGCAUCAUACACACACAACAUCACCUUGUGAACCCGGAUCAGUGUGCUCGGCACGACUGGAGGUCGAUCGCGUUCGCCCAUUAAACCGGGUGUGCGUGCCGGCCACCAGUCUGUCGUCUUAAACAUUUGACAUUUUAUUAUUAAUACUUCAUUGUAAUGCGUCGAGGUGACUCGUCGUGUAAUUAUUCUGAACCAUACACACAACUUUUAACAAUGGAUCUCUAGGCUCCU